AUUAGUAUUGAACAGUGAUUGUUGGCAUAUGUUGUUAUCAGUAUCACCUUAUCAGACAUUUUAGACUUCUUAGUGAUCCAGUCCUCAAUUAUCAAUUUUAAUAACAUUGGCCAUUGGUAGUCGCACGGCCGGGCCGGCCGAUAAUCCGUUUCGUAGGAAGCUUAUGGAGUUUUCGGUCUACGAUUUAUAGUCUACAUCGUGUGAACUGGGAAGGUGGUGGUUAAUAAGAGAAGCAGAAUUUGAUGAAGAUACCUAGUGCUAGCACAACAAAUUUGUCGGAAAUGUCUUCUGUUGAAAGAACAUCGGAAACAUCUCACCUUGUUUCUGCAAAUAAUCAAUCUAAACCCAGUUACUUAAAUGUUUUCAGCAACAUAUGUGCUCUUUUGUUUACCGGUAUAAUAUUUUAUUGCUGUUUUAAGAAUGGAGCAUCUUUGUUCUCAUUUCAUCCAACGCUGAUGUCUUUAGGGUGGCUGAUUAUUAUGACUUCUGCUGUGAAUGCUGUUACUCCGGGAGACUUGGCAACUGAAUGGAUGCCCAUUAGACUCAGAAGUGCUCGUCACUGGGUCUUACAAUUAGUUGCAGUUCUAAUUAUUUUAAUUGGAUUUCUUAUUAUUCUUUCAAAUAAAAUUAUCAACGACAAACAACAUUUCCAAUCUUUACAUGGAAAAUUUGGAUUAGCUUCUUUCAUAUUUAUGAUUUGCACUAGUCUCGGAGGAUUAGGAGCACUUUACAGUCUGAAACUUAAAGAAUACCUUGCACCAAUAUAUACAAAAAUUGUUCACGCAUCGUUUGGUCUUAUUACCAUCUGUUUGGGUACUAUAACAAUAAUACUGGGCACUUUUUCUGCAUGGUGGUCAUUCGGAGAAGUAUUAAGAUACACAUGCCUAAUACUUGUGCUUUUAAUUAUGAUUCUAACGGUACUAAGACCAAGUCUUAAAAUCUAUUUUCGUUUAAAAGAGAGGCUUGGUUACUCCAAUAACUAACUUGCGUAGAUUAAGAAAAAUUAUAAGCAACACAUAUGCAUUAGAAAGAUGUUUUACAAGAUUCAUUUUAUAUCUAAGAAAGUUUACUUUUUUAAGAUUUUUUUGUAUAGGAAAAUUCUAUUUACCAAUUUUAGAUAUACGGUUAUUGAUUGUUAAAGUUGUUUAUUUACUUUAUUACUACAUUUGGAGUCUAUUUUAGGUUAUAAAGAAGAAUGAUACUGUAUUUCUACUGUUUUGUUACUUACAUUAUAAAAACCAAAUAAUUUAGACGUAAGAAUCAUUAUAUUAAAUCGUAGAGAAAACUUUGUAUGUAUCACUAGUCAUGCUUUUAUUUUUAUAUGUUGCGGAUUGUUUUAAAUGCUGUGAUAUGAUUAUUACACUAGGAACAUAACAAUUGCACUGGAUUUAAUCUAUCGUCUCAAUUACACACAAUAUCAGGUCAAUGUCAGUUAAAUUAUAUUUUCACUAUAUUGACUGCCUCGUUGCUCUAGUGGUUAGAUAUAAGCUCAUAGAUCCCGAGUCCAGAUCGUGCCAAUAAAAAGUUAUUGAGUUUUUCUGGUACAGAAUUUCAGUAACAGCCCGUACGCUGGAAGUUCGUAAUGUGUACACUCCCGUAUCUCGGAAAGUACGUAUACCUUUGGCCCCGCUUUUGAACUCUUGGUGGUGGUGGCGCAUCGGAUUAUGAGAGUGAAGGCAUAGAGAGUGCAUCUUUAUUUGUGCACUUUUAUAUGUCCCACGCAAUUAGUUAAUCUGCAAAAUCUGAUAGAUAUGGGAAUCAUUGAAUAUUUUUAAAACGAAUACCGAUGUAGUGGUCCACUUUUCCUUACCUGGCUACACCUCAGUGGCGGAUCCAGAGGAAUCGUAAGUUUCAGGACACCCUUCGAGUAUUCAUUGGUUCGAUUACUGAAAGUUUAUCUAUCUUUGAUUUAUCUGAAUGAUAAGUGUAAUAAAAUAAAUGAUUUGUAUGAGGUUAGCUAAUACGCAAACGACACUCAAAAAACCACCGUAUUGUUAUUACUUAUGAGUAACGAUACGAUGCACCAGUUCGCUCAUGAGUUAAUUUCUUAGAACCGGCAUACUUUUAUUCAUAAUUGAGACAUUGACAAAAUUCUGUGCAAUUGUAAUGUUACAAGUGAAUUGCGACUUAUAUAAAACUAUACCCUGCUAUAAUACGAUAAUUGUUGUUACAAACUUUUAUUUAAUAUUACCUAUUUAUAUAUAAUAAUUAUUUAUAUUAAUCUAUGGGCUUAAAAUCUUGCAAAUUAAUUUUAGAUUAAUUCUAUAAAAACUAUUAAUCUGAUGUUUUGCACAACUUUUGGUGCACCAGCACUAUUACAAGUGUAAUAAUUGUACUCGACUUUGUAAGUUUUUGAGGUAAAAAGCUUUUUAUUAAAAAGUUUACUAAUUUUAUUAAUGGUCCAUUACAACUUUUUCUUUAGAUUUGAUCGUCGUUUAUAUGAUUAAAACUAUUUUAGAUAAAACUAUAGUGUCCAAUUUCAAUACUAAAAAAUAUUUGAAGCUAUUUCAAGUUAAAUAAAACAAUGUACCUUCUCGAAUAUUAUUUUAUUAUAAGGUUUUUGUUAAAACAUAAUUUAUAAGUACACAAAAACUUCGAAUUUAAUGUUUUUUUUAAAUGUAUAUAAAGCUUUUAUAUUAGAUAAUAUCUUCUCAUUCUGUUCCUAUGUACUUAAAAAUUUUUAAGAUCUUUAUAUUGUAUGUGCUGAAACUCAUCUAAUGUGUGCCAAUUUUUUAAAUGUUAGCACAAAUGCAAUUUGUAUGUGAUAGUUAUAUUAUUUCGAAUGUGUAUUUUUUAAACAAUAUAUUUGAUUACUUACUAUAUACUUAUAUAGGUUUUUAAAAAAAAUUAUAAAAUACAUGUUUACUCUUCUAUAUUUACAUAAAUAUUAUACUAAAAUAUAUGGAAUGCAAAUUAAAUUAUGAUACGAGUCUUAUUAUACAAACAUCAACCAACAUUUUGUUUGUUAACACCAAAAAGUCAUCAUCAUAUUUCGUCAUAAAUGUUCUAUUUACCUUCCUUAUAGGUAAAUUAGUUACAAUCUGAUAUACAUAUAUAGUACUGCUUAUCGAUUGGCCACGUGAACAACCUUAAAAAACUUUUAAUCGUUGUUAAGAUAUAUAAAACCUAAAGAUAUAAACUAAAUAAAAUCGCUUAAAAAUGGCAUGUAUUGGGUAUAUUUUGGAAUGACAACAUCAACAUAUAUGUGCUUAAUAUAAAUGUAAAAUUAUACACCACAAAAUCUUACAUUAGAAAAAAAAACCAAACAGCUUGUCUCAUAAUCUUAAUUUUGAAAAAAAUAUCUAUAACUUAAAACCCUCAUACCUGCUUAGACAUUAUUUUUUUAUUUAUUAAAAUAUAACAAUGAGGAAACGGUUAAUCUUACAUUAAAAGAUGUAUUAACCUUCUCUGUGCAGAAUCUGUUUUAAACUUUUUUAAAUACGAAUAACUUAAUUUUUAACUGAUAUAAAUAGGAAAACAUUUUUGCAGUGGUGGCCAUUUUGUUUUUUUUUCGCAAUAUUGAAGCGUAUGGUUAUAUAUAUAUAUUAUAAAUGGUUUUUAAGAUAACACCAUCGAAUUUAUUUUGCUCCGAGGUCAAACGAAGAUAUUGAGAUCAUUUAGAUUGGUCCAGUUAAUACAUUGAUAUUGUUGAGGUGACUAAGUCAAGAGAUUUUCACGAUUUAAAAAAAAAAAAGAAAGAGGAUAAAAGAGCAGAACGUUCAUCUGAUGGUAAGUGGAGCAUUUUUGCUGAUGCGUGGUCGGUCUUGAAGACUUAUGCACUCCAGUUAGUUUUUUUUAUACAUCUCAUAUUUUUUACUCUGUGAAAACUUCUAAACGAGAACCUAGAUCUAAGUCUUUGUAAUCCACAUAUUCUUCUGAAUCGAUAUUCACUUCAUGAAUCGAAGUGAGGCAUUUCGUACCAACAACCAGAUGUGUAAUUGUAAUUUUUUAUUAUUUUGUAUCCAAAUACAAGUAAUUUUGAAUGAUUAUUUACUUAGAAAUUUGCCAUAUUUUCUGUUUAAAAUUAUAUUUCAGAUUAAAGAGAAUGACAUGACUAGGUCAUCAUUAUUGAAGUAGCACAGUUGACAAAACCAUAAUAUUUACAGUGUUUUAUGUAAUGCCACACACACACACUACAAACGUCCCUAUCAGAUUUAGGUGUAGGUUACCCUUGAUUCUAUACUGAGGAAAAUCAUAUAUACAUUUAGACAUCUAGUAAAAAAAUAUUUCAACAAUUAUUUUAAUAUCCUACAAGCAUAGGCAAAACUAUAUACAAUUUACCUUUACACAUGUUCAUUAAUUUCAGUUUUAACAGUGCUGGCGAUGCCACCUAAACAUUGCAAAUUAUGAUUUGCAUUGCUAACACUGCAAAUCGAGAUAGCAGUCCAAGUGUUAAUAAUAAUGCAAUUUAUUCAUUCUAAAUAUGUUAAUGUAUUAUAUUUCUAAAACACGUAUUUUAUGUAUGUGAAUGCAAAAAAAAUUAAAUAUUGUUCAAAACAAAAGACAAGCAAUAUUUAAAACACAUGAUUUUAAUUAACAAGUUACAUUAUGUUCUUAUUUAAUAUAGCAGCAGUAAGCUUUUAAUACAUAAAAACGAUAUUGUUUCAACAUAUAACAAUAUUGUUAAAUAUGUUAUUUUGUUUCUUUUUUUAUUACCCUUUUGUCAUUUAACAAAUCAUUACUAAAACAUGAUGUGUUCAUCAAUUAUAUUAUAUAUAAUGCCCAUAACACUCAAUUUUAUCAUUUAAUAAUGUUUUAAUUUCAAUUCAAUUUCUCUUGUCACUAUAAUGUAGUUGCAUAAAUCUCAAACAACAUUGAUAAUUCCAGACUUAUUACUAUGUGCCUGCAUACAUAUACAUCAUCUUAUAGGUAGGCAGACUGGCAAAUGGACAACCUGAAGUUUUUUUUUUUUUAUAGAAUAGGAAGGUGGACGAGCAUAUGGGCCACCUGAUGGUAAGUGAUCCCCACUGCCCAUAGACAUUGACGAUAUAAGAAAUAUGAACCAUUUCUUAUAUUGCUAAUGCGCCACUAACCUUAGGAACCAAGAUGUUAUGUCCCUUGUGCCUGCAGUUACAGUGGCUCAUUCGCCCUUCAAACCGGAACACAACAACACUAAGUAUAGCUGUUUAGCGGUAGAACAUCUGACGAGGGGGGAUCAACCUACCCAGACGGGUUUGCUCAAAGCUGGUAGGGCUUAAUUUUUUAGUUAGGCCUAGUAGAUAUAUGUAUUAUUAUCUAAUAUAUAUAUAUAUAUUAUUGUUGUUGUAAGUAAGCACUGACGAUGCUUAGUCUGUCGAGAUGAGCAUAGGCUGUGGGCUGGAAAAUU